rnacentral:rRNA from 1 species
GACGAACGCUGGCGGCGUGCUUAACACAUGCAAGUCGAACGGAAAGGCCCUGCUUUUGUGGGGUGCUCGAGUGGCGAACGGGUGAGUAACACGUGAGUAACCUGCCCUUGACUUUGGGAUAACUUCAGGAAACUGGGGCUAAUACCGGAUAGGAGCUCCUGCUGCAUGGUGGGGGUUGGAAAGUUUCGGCGGUUGGGGAUGGACUCGCGGCUUAUCAGCUUGUUGGUGGGGUAGUGGCUUACCAAGGCUUUGACGGGUAGCCGGCCUGAGAGGGUGACCGGCCACAUUGGGACUGAGAUACGGCCCAGACUCCUACGGGAGGCAGCAGUGGGGAAUAUUGCACAAUGGGCGGAAGCCUGAUGCAGCAACGCCGCGUGCGGGAUGACGGCCUUCGGGUUGUAAACCGCUUUCACCUAUGACGAAGCGUGAGUGACGGUAAUGGGUAAAGAAGCACCGGCUAACUACGUG